rnacentral:rRNA from 1 species
GAUGAACGCUGGCGGCGUGCCUAAUACAUGCGAGUCGAGCGAACAGACGAGGAGCUUGCUCCUCUGACGUUAGCGGCGGACGGGUGAGUAACACGUGGAUAACCUACCUAUAAGACUGGGAUAACUUCGGGAAACCGGAGCUAAUACCGGAUAAUAUAUUGAACCGCAUGGUUCAAUAGUGAAAGACGGUUUUGCUGUCACUUAUAGAUGGAUCCGCGCCGCAUAGCUAGUUGGUAAGGUAACGGCUUACCAAGGCAACGAUGCGUAGCCGACCUGAGAGGGUGAUCGGCCACACUGGAACUGAGACACGGUCCAGACUCCUACGGGAGGCAGCAGUAGGGAAUCUUCCGCAAUGGGCGAAAGCCUGACGGAGCAACGCCGCGUGAGUGAUGAAGGUCUUCGGAUCGUAAAACUCUGUUAUUAGGGAAGAACAAAUGUGUAAGUAACUAUGCACGUCUUGACGGUACCUAAUCAGAAAGCCACGGCUAACUACGUG